UCCUUAUUCGAUUUUCAUUUCCUUAUUCAAUUUUCUUUUCCCUAUUCGGUUUCUUCUUCCUUUUUCAAUAUUCAUUUCCUUUUUCGGUUUCUAUUUCCUUAUUCAGUUUCUAUUUCCUUAUUGAAUUUUCAUUUCCUUAUUCGAUUUCCAUUUCCUUAUUCAAUUUUCAUUUCCUUAUUCGGUUUCUUUUUCCUUUUUCAAUAUUCAUUUCCUUAUUCGGUUUCUAUUUCCUUAUUCAGUUUCUAUUUCCUUAUUGGAUUUUCAUUUCCUUAUUCGGUUUCCAUUUCCUUUUUCGAUAUUCAAAUUUUGAAAAAUAUUACAAGUCCAAACUGAAUUUUUUUUUUCCUUCAAUUUUUUUUUUCUCAAAAUUUUUUUUUCCUCAAAAUUUUUUUUUUUCUCAAAAUUUU
rnacentral:lncRNA from 1 species